rnacentral:misc_RNA from 1 species
GAUGAAGAACGCAGCGAAAUGCGAUAAGUAAUGUGAAUUGCAGAAUUCAGUGAAUCAUCGAAUCUUUGAACGCACAUUGCGCCCGCUAGUAUACUGGCGGGCAUGCCUGUCCGAGCGUCAUUUCAACCCUCAAGCCCCCGGGCUUGGUGUUGGGGAUCGGCGAGCCUCCGCGCCCGCCGUCCCCUAAAUCUAGUGGCGGUCUCGCUGUAGCUUCCUCUGCGUAGUAGCACACCUCGCACUGGGAAACAGCGCGGCCACGCCGUUAAACCCCCAACUUCUGAACGUUUGACCUCGGAUCAGGUAGGAAUACCCGCUGAACUUAAGCAUAUCAAUAAGCGGAGGA